GUUGAUAAGGUUAAGUGAAUAAGGGCGCACGGUGGAUGCCUUGGCACUAGGAGCCGAUGAAGGACGGGACUAACACCGAUAUGCUUUGGGGAGCUGUAAGUAAGCUAUGAUCCAGAGAUUUCCGAAUGGGGGAACCCAAUAUCUUUUAUAGGAUAUUACUUUUCAGUGAAUACAUAGCUGAUUAGAGGUAGACGCAGAGAACUGAAACAUCUUAGUACCUGCAGGAAGAGAAAGAAAAUUCGAUUCCCUGAGUAGCGGCGAGCGAAACGGGAAGAGCCCAAACCAACAAGCUUGCUUGUUGGGGUUGUAGGACUCCGAUAUGGUAGUCUGUUAGUAUAGUUGAAGGAUUUGGAAAAUUCCGCUAAAGAGGGUGAAAGCCCCGUAGACGAAAUGCUGACAACACCUAGGAGGAUCCUGAGUACGGCGGAACACGAGAAAUUCCGUCGGAAUCCGCGGGGACCAUCCCGCAAGGCUAAAUACUCCCUAGUGACCGAUAGUGAACCAGUACCGUGAGGGAAAGGUGAAAAGCACCCCGGAAGGGGAGUGAAAUAGAUCCUGAAACCGUGUGCCUACAACAAGUCAAAGCUCGUUAAUGAGUGAUGGCGUGCCUUUUGUAGAAUGAACCGGCGAGUUACGAUUGCAUGCGAGGUUAAGUCGAAGAGACGGAGCCGCAGCGAAAGCGAGUCUGAAUAGGGCGAAUGAGUAUGUAGUCGUAGACCCGAAACCAUGUGAUCUACCCAUGUCCAGGUUGAAGGUGCGGUAAAACGCACUGGAGGACCGAACCCACGUACGUUGAAAAGUGCGGGGAUGAGGUGUGGGUAGCGGAGAAAUUCCAAACGAACUUGGAGAUAGCUGGUUCUCUCCGAAAUAGCUUUAGGGCUAGCCUCGGAAUUGAGAAUGAUGGAGGUAGAGCACUGUUUGGACUAGGGGCCCAUCUCGGGUUACCGAAUUCAGAUAAACUCCGAAUGCCAUUCAUUUAUAUCCGGGAGUCAGACUGCGAGUGAUAAGAUCCGUAGUCGAAAGGGAAACAGCCCAGACCACCAGCUAAGGUCCCAAAAUAUAUGUUAAGUGGAAAAGGAUGUGGGGUUGCACAGACAACUAGGAUGUUGGCUUAGAAGCAGCCACCAUUUAAAGAGUGCGUAAUAGCUCACUAGUCGAGUGACCCUGCGCCGAAAAUGUACCGGGGCUAAACAUAUUACCGAAGCUGUGGACUACACCAUUAGGUGUAGUGGUAGGAGAGCGUUCUAAGGGCGUUGAAGGUCGAUCGUGAGGACGGCUGGAGCGCUUAGAAGUGAGAAUGCCGGUAUGAGUAGCGAAAGACAGGUGAGAAUCCUGUCCACCGUAUGACUA
rnacentral:rRNA from 1 species